rnacentral:rRNA from 1 species
CCUACGGGUGGCUGCAGUCGAGAAUCUUCGGCAAUGGGCGCAAGCCUGACCGAGCGACGCCGCGUGCGGGAUGAAGGCCCUUGGGUUGUAAACCGCUGUCAGAGGGGAUGAAAUGUAUGUGGGCACUCCCAUGUAUUUGACAUAGCCUCAGAGGAAGCACGGGCUAAGUUCGUGCCAGCAGCCGCGGUAAUACGAACUGUGCAAACGUUAUUCGGAAUCACUGGGCUUAAAGGGUGCGUAGGCGGCUCAUUAAGUAGGGUGUGAAAGCCCCCGGC